rnacentral:rRNA from 1 species
AUUGAACGCUGGCGGCAGGCCUAACACAUGCAAGUCGAACGGUAACAGGAAUCAGCUUGCUGAUUUGCUGACGAGUGGCGGACGGGUGAGUAAUGUCUGGGAAACUGCCUGAUGGAGGGGGAUAACUACUGGAAACGGUAGCUAAUACCGCAUAACGUCGCAAGACCAAAGAGGGGGACCUUCGGGCCUCUUGCCAUCGGAUGUGCCCAGAUGGGAUUAGCUAGUAGGUGGGGUAACGGCUCACCUAGGCGACGAUCCCUAGCUGGUCUGAGAGGAUGACCAGCCACACUGGAACUGAGACACGGUCCAGACUCCUACGGGAGGCAGCAGUGGGGAAUAUUGCACAAUGGGCGCAAGCCUGAUGCAGCCAUGCCGCGUGUAUGAAGAAGGCCUUCGGGUUGUAAAGUACUUUCAGCGGGGAGGAAGGGAGUAAAGUUAAUACCUUUACUCAUUGACGUUACCCGCAGAAGAAGCACCGGCUAACUCCGUGCCAGCCGCCGCCGUAA